GACGAACGCUGGCGGCGUGCCUAAUACAUGCAAGUCGAGCGGACAGAAGGGAGCUUGCUCCCGGAAGUCAGCGGCGGACGGGUGAGUAACACGUGGGCAACCUGCCCUGCAGAUUGGAAUAACUCCGGGAAACCGGGGCUAAUACCGAAUAACAUUGGAAACCUCAUGGUUUCCUUUUAAAAGGCGGCUUCGGCUGUCACUGCAGGCUGGGCCCGCGGCGCAUUAGCUAGUUGGUGAGGUAACGGCUCACCAAGGCGACGAUGCGUAGCCGACCUGAGAGGGUGAUCGGCCACACUGGGACUGAGACACGGCCCAGACUCCUACGGGAGGCAGCAGUAGGGAAUCUUCCGCAAUGGACGAAAGUCUGACGGAGCAACGCCGCGUGAGUGAAGAAGGUUUUCGGAUCGUAAAACUCUGUUGUCAGGGAAGAACAAGUACGGUAGUAACUGCCCGUACCUUGACGGUACCUGGCCAGAAAGCCACGGCUGACUACGUGCCAGCCGCCGCAGUAACAC
rnacentral:rRNA from 1 species